AGAGUUUGAUCCUGGCUCAGAAUGAACGCUGGCGGCGUGCUUAACACAUGCAAGUCGCACGAGAACUCUUUAGCUUGCUAAAGAUAGUAAAGUGGCGCACGGGUGAGUAACGCGUGGGUAAUCUUCCUUCAAAUUGGGGAUAACUCGCCGAAAGGCGGGCUAAUACCGAAUAAUAUCUUUGAAACUUCGGUUUUGAAGAUCAAAGGUGGCCUCUAUUUAUAUGCUACUGUUUGAAGAUGAGCCCGCGUACCAUUAGCUUGUUGGUAGGGUAAUGGCCUACCAAGGCUGCGAUGGUUAGCUGGUCUGAGAGGAUGAUCAGCCACACUGGAACUGACACACGGUCCAGACUCCUACGGGAGGCAGCAGUGAGGAAUUUUGCGCAAUGGGGGAAACCCUGACGCAGCAACGCCGCGUGAGUGAUGAAGGCCUUCGGGUCGUAAAGCUCUGUCAAGUGGGAAGAACCUGAUGAAUGAUAAUACCAUUGAUCACUGACGGUACCACUGAAGGAAGCACCGGCUAACUCCGUGCCAGCAGCCGCGGUAAUACGGAGGGUGCAAGCGUUAUUCGGAAUCAUUGGGCGUAAAGGGCGCGUAGGCGGUUUUUUAAGUCAGAUGUGAAAGCCCGGGGCUUAACCCCGGAAGUGCAUUUGAAACUGAAAGACUUGAGUAUGGGAGAGGGAAGUGGAAUUCCUGGUGUAGAGGUGAAAUUCGUAGAUAUCAGGAGGAACACCGGUGGCGAAGGCGACUUCCUGGACCAAUACUGACGCUGAGGCGCGAAGGCGUGGGUAGCAAACAGGAUUAGAUACCCUGGUAGUCC
rnacentral:rRNA from 1 species